rnacentral:sRNA from 1 species
ACACUCAUCCAAGCAUUAUAGAACAGAGUAUCAAAAUCAUCCCAAUCUGGAGAAAAAGGGCGAUUGAUAUAGUCACCUUUAGUGAAUUCUGUGUUGACAUCCUUCUCCCAAACUCUUUGAGAAGGAAUUUUUUCUGUUGGAAGCUUUGGCCAUGGAAAUCGAUAGACGGGAGGUUCAGGCGCUGCAGCUGGUGGUUGAGGUUGGGAAGGGCGGAGGCCGGCGGCGGUGGAGAAGCUCCUGCGGUGUUGAGCACCGGCGGAGGAGGAAGGUGGAGGACCGCUCUUCCUUGCCUUCUUUUUCUGCCCAGCCAUCUUGCAGAUUGGUGGAAUUGAUACUUGGGGAAGAUAGAGGAUGAAAUUCUAAUGAGAUUAGAGCCUGAAAUCACAAGAAACGGUGAAAAAUCGAAGGAUCUAGAAAGAAAAGAGUGAUUUUGGCGGUUUGGAAAAAACUGAAAUGAAGAAGAUGAAGUUUUAGGUUAAAUCGACUUACCUGGAAAAUGAGGAUGUCGAUCGACACCAGAGCUUUUUUU